GACGAACCGUGCGAACGUUGUUCGGAUUCACUGGGCUUAAAGGGCGCGUAGGCGGCUUGCCAAGUCAGGGGUGAAAUCUUUCGGCUCAACCGGAAAAGUGCUUCUGAUACUGGCGGGCUGGAGGGGGUAGGGGCAGAUGGAACUUCCGGUGGAGCGGUGAAAUGCGUAGAUAUCGGAAGGAACGCCGGUGGCGAAAGCGAUCUGCUGGACCCCUUCUGACGCUGAGGCGCGAAAGCCAGGGGAGCGAACGGG
rnacentral:rRNA from 1 species